rnacentral:rRNA from 1 species
GGGCCGCGGUAUCCUAACCGUGCAAAGGUAGCAUAAUCAUUUGUCCAUUAAUUGUGGACUAGAAUGAACGGGUAAACGAAAUAAUCGCUGUCUCAGUAAAGAAAAUAAAAAUUAAUAUUUAUGUGAAGAAGCAUAAAUAAAAUCGAAGGACAAGAAGACCCUAUAGAGCUUUAUUAAAAUUCUGAUAGUCAGCUUAAUAAUUCGGUUGGGGCGACCUAGGAUAAAUCAUCCUUCUAUAAUAUAACUUAUUAGUUAAAAGUGAUCCUUAUAUGAUCAAAAGACUAAGCUACCUUAGGGAUAACAGGCUAAUCCCACUAUAGAGCUCUUAUCACCAGUGGGGAUUGGCACCUCGAUGUUGGCUUAGGAUAUCAUUUUAGUGUAGCAGCUAAAAAAUGUUGGUUUGUUCAACCAUAAAAAUCCUACGUGAUCU